rnacentral:tRNA from 1 species
CGAUAGCUCAGUCGGUAGAGCAGAGGACUGAAAAUCCUCGUGUCGCUGGUUCGAUUCCGGCUCG